CUCUCGGCAACGGAUAUCUAGGCUCUCGCAUCGAUGAAGAACGUAGCGAAAUGCGAUACUUGGUGUGAAUUGCAGAAUCCCGCGAAUCAUCGAGUUUUUGAACGCAAGUUGCGCCCGAAGCCUUUCGGCCGAGGGCACGUCUGCCUGGGUGUCACGCAUCGUUGCC
rnacentral:rRNA from 1 species